rnacentral:rRNA from 1 species
CCUACGGGAGGCAGCAGUGGGGAAUAUUGGACAAUGGGGGGAACCCUGAUCCAGCCAUGCCGCGUGUGUGAAGAAGGCCCUCGGGUUGUAAAGCACUUUCAGUGAGGAAGAACGCCUGGUGGUUAAUACCCAUCAGGAAAGACAUCACUCACAGAAGAAGCACCGGCUAACUCCGUGCCAGCAGCCGCGGUAAUACGGAGGGUGCGAGCGUUAAUCGGAAUUACUGGGCGUAAAGCGCGCGUAGGUGGCUUGAUAAGCCGGUUGUGAAAGCCCCGGGCUCAACCUGGGAACGGCAUCCGGAACUGUCAAGCUAGAGUGCAGGAGAGGAAGGUAGAAUUCCCGGUGUAGCGGUGAAAUGCGUAGAGGUCGGGAGGAAUACCAGUGGCGAAGGCGGCCUUCUGGACUGACACUGACACUGAGGUGCGAAAGCGUGGGUAGCAAACAGGAUUAGAUACCCCGGGAGUC